AAAGAGACGCUGAAAUUAAUCACAUGGAGUUUCUUUCUCUUUUUCCAUAUGAGUAUUUUUUGCAAAGCAACAUGGUAAGGUAAUAAAAAUCUGAUUCAGAGAACUGAAGUGUUGACACAGAACUGUAAUCAGACACACUGCAGCAACAAAACACACAAUGACUGCGUCAUCUGCUUGGAAAAGCAAAAGACACAGAUCCGUCUACUAACAGUGCCCACAAGUCACUGUGCCCGGAACAGACACAGAGGUGAGAGCAGCGUGAACACAGCCCGCCCACCGCUCACCUGCGUGCUUUCUCCAGUUCGUUCCUGACGGGACGGGGGUGAGAGCCAUGGGUCCUCUCAGCAUCGACAGGGCCACCGUGCCGAGUUCUGCGGGGGAACCACAGACUGGCUGCUGGCCAGCGGGGGCUGGACGUGAUCACAGACAUGGUGAUGCGGCAUAUGGACAAAUUUCUUCUCAUACUGUUUUUCACCACAGGCUAU